UACGGGGGGGGGCAAGCGUUGUUCGGAAUUACUGGGCGUAAAGGGCGCGUAGGCGGCCUUCUAAGUCGAACGUGAAAUCCCCGGGCUCAACCCGGGAACUGCGUCCGAUACUGGAAGGCUUGAAUCCGGGAGAGGGAUGCGGAAUUCCAGGUGUAGCGGUGAAAUGCGUAGAUAUCUGGAGGAACACCGGUGGCGAAGGCGGCAUCCUGGAUCGAUACUGACGCUGAGGCGCGAAAGCGUGGGGAGCAAACAGG
rnacentral:rRNA from 1 species